AUACGAGGGGUGCAAACGUUGUUCGGAAUUACUGGGCGUAAAGGGAGCGUAGGCGGAGAUUCAAGCGGAUUGUACAAUCCCGGGGCCCAACCCCGGCUCUGCAGUCCGAACUGGAUCUCUUGGAUAGUUCAGGGGCAGGCGGAAUUCCUGGUGUAGCGGUGGAAUGCGUAGAGAUCAGGAAGAACACCGAUGGCGAAGGCAGCCUGCUGGGGACUUAUCGACGCUGAGGCUCGAAAGUGCGGGUAGCAAACAGGAUUAGAUACCCUGGUAGUCCGCACCGUAAACGAUGCAUACUGGGUGUCCGGGGGUUCCCCCGGGUACCGUAGCCAACGCGUUAAGUAUGCCGCCUGGGGAGUACGUACGCAAGUAUGAAACUCAAAUGAAUUGACGGGG
rnacentral:rRNA from 1 species